CGGAAGGAUCAUUACUGUGAUUUAGUACUACACUGCGUGAGCGGAACGAAAACAACAACACCUAAAAUGUGGAAUAUAGCAUAUAGUCGACAAGAGAAAUCUACGAAAAACAAACAAAACUUUCAACAACGGAUCUCUUGGUUCUCGCAUCGAUGAAGAGCGCAGCGAAAUGCGAUACCUAGUGUGAAUUGCAGCCAUCGUGAAUCAUCGAGUUCUUGAACGCACAUUGCGCCCCUCGGCAUUCCGGGGGGCAUGCCUGUUUGAGCGUCGUUUCCAUCUUGCGCGUGCGCAGAGUUGGGGGAGCGGAGCGGACGACGUGUAAAGAGCGUCGGAGCUGCGACUCGCCUGAAAGGGAGCGAAGCUGGCCGAGCGAACUAGACUUUUUUUCAGGGACGCUUGGCGGCCGAGAGCGAGUGUUGCGAGACAACAAAAAGCUCGACCUCAAAUCAGGUAGGAAUACCCGCUGAACUUAAGCAUAU
rnacentral:rRNA from 1 species